GAUGAAGAACGUAGCGAAAUGCGAUAAGUAAUGUGAAUUGCAGAAUUCAGUGAAUCAUCGAAUCUUUGAACGCAUAUUGCGCCCCUUGGUAUUCCGGGGGGCACACCUGUCCGAGCGCCGUCGCAGCACUGAGGCUUCAGCCUUGCGUUGGCGGAUCGGCCUCCUCUUUCUGCAUCAGAGCAGGGAGGGGGAGCCGCCGCCGAAACUCCGACGGCGCCGCACCGCGGCCGGCAUUGCGCAAACAGCAAGCAGCCCGGCGGGCGAGAGCGGCGGCCUGUACAAAAACAAAACACAAGCUUGGCCUCGGAUCAGGUGGGGAUACCCGCUGAACUUAAGCAUAUCAAUAAGCGGAGGA
rnacentral:misc_RNA from 1 species